AACUCUGGGGACUGCAUCCCCCUGGCCUGUCUCCUUUGAACUCUCUCCUCUGCCCUACCCUCUCACCUCUUCCAGAAGAAAGCCCCCAGGCUCUCCCGGCUGUCCCGCCAGAUGGUGCCCCAGCUCCAGCUGCCCAAGCCCCCUGCCCUGUCAGUCAUGUACUCCUACCUGCAUAGCCGCAAGAUCAAGAUCCUGGAGAUAUUUCACAAGGUGGGCCAGGGUGAGAACCAGAGAAUCACCAGGGAGGAGUUCAUCGCGGCUGUAAAGGCAGUCGGAGUCCCUCUGAAGAACCAAGAGGUGGAGGAUAUAGUGAUCUACCUCAGCUCUCUUGGGAAGCACAACACCAUCACCAUGGAUAUCCUGGCCAAUACCUACAAGCAGUGGUCUAUGGCUCAGCAAAGGAGCAGCCUGGCCACUGCAAGGGAGCGUUAUAUCUUGGCCAAGCACAGAGAUUCCCUGAAGGGUCCGCUCAAGAAGCAGGAGGUGGAUUCAGCCCCACAGCUUCCCAAAGUGGACCUACUGACGGUGCCUGCAGUCGACACGCAGAUGGAGGCGCGGCCCAUGACCCUGGAGGAGAUGGAGGAAGUGGGCAAGCGGUACCGCGAGCGGCAGCGACAGCACAAGCUCACGAUCCCCUCCAUCCAGUACACGGAGCAAUGUCACCUGGUGCGCUGUGGGAAUCGGCACUUUGAUGAGCACUGCCUCCCGUCCACCAUCCACGGGGAUAUGAGGGAGCUCAUUGACUCGGCCCGCAGGCACAACUUUCUGGUCUACCUGCAAUGCUGGAAGCUCUGUGAGUCCUAUGGCCUCCUGCUGACGGAGGACAUCCUCAUGAAAGCCUUGCUGUACCCAGGAGACAUGAUCAUUUUCCAGAUGGACAAAGUGUGCCCCAUCCGGCAGCCGGGAGGCUACUACUCUGACUGGAAGGUCUUUUCUCCGAAUCUGGCUCUGCUCCGGUCCCAGGGCCCUGGCAAGUCUAAGAGGACUGACAAGCUGAGUUUCGGACCCCCUUUCUCCCUGCCUUGGCCUCCUGCUCCAUUGCUAUCCCUUCAGUGUGGGGGCUGGAGGCUGGAGUACCUGGGGCGCCAUGCUGUGCUUGCGUCUGCAUCCUAGGGCAGCAUCCCCCAACCUGACUGCUCACUGCAGACUGGCCAGUCCCGGGUCACCCUUGGCGCAUGUCUCAGGAUCAUGGCCUGCUGGCCUCAGCUCCCACACAGCUACCCUCCUGACCCCAGUCCUGCACAAUCAUAAGGUUUCUGGAAAAGAUGAAAAGGAGAGCCUCCUUAGAGAACAGGGCUGGAGCGAGGGCCUUCACAAAUCCCCAGCCAGGUGUCAGGGCCCUGCAGAGAACAGGGGGCAGCCCUUUCUCUGCCCUGCCACCUUGCAGCGGCCACACCCCUUCUCUGGCAAGAGGUGGGCUUGCAGCUCGUGGGAGGAUAAAAGAACAUUUCCCCGGGACCUGCCUCCAGCCCUUUCGAGAGGCCAACCUGAGUCUUCUCUAAGAAAAUGGCCUCCUUUGGUACUCUAAAGCCUGAGCUACCCAGAUUUGAGUCAAGCAGCAGGUGACAACCCGUGGGCAGCAUCCGUGCGUGACUGCAGAGGAACAAGGCAGCAUCCCUGCAGAGGGAGGGGCGCGGCAUGGGAGGAGGAGAGCCCAGCUGGCCGGAUACCAUGAGGUGGGAGGGGCCUGGACCUGCCCCUGCUUCUAGACCCCUGCCAGCUGCCCACUGGGUGUGUGGCCAGAAUGCCUGCAGUGGGACACAGCAGGGCCCUGUAGAGAUCAGACAGGCCUCCAGUUAAAUGGACAAGGCACUUCUCUGAGUCUUAGCAUCUUCAUGUGUAAAGGGGCCUAGUAGCUCCUACCAUACACUAUGAGGAUCAGAUGAGAAAGAGUGUCAACAUCUUAGCAGGGACAGCACUCAAUCAAUGAUUGUCGUUGUUUUACCUUGCUCUGGUUGGGGCAUCUUCAAGUGCAGGAGUAGGCCCAGGCCUGCAGGUGGGUCCUGGCCAUGACACGGGCUGUAACUUCCUUCCAGCCCCGGGGUGGGCCAGGAAGUGGCUGGGAACCCAGGAAGGGGAUUUUGGUCCAUGCUUAGGUAGGCCAUAGCUAAUAAAGGAUAAAGAGAGUUCUCUUAGGUCAAGGAGAGACGUUGACUGUAUCUUGCUACUUAUGGUUGAUGGAGGCUGGGUGGGAAAGAGUGCCGUGAAUGAUUAGUGAUGUCUGUCAGGCUCAGGGUUGGAGGGGAAGGGGGUUAGAUUUCACCACCUUCGUCCUCAGGGCUGGGUUAAGCUCUGGAGUGGGGAGUGGGAGCCAGGGACCCCAAAAGGAUUUGGCAGUGACUUACUGAGCCUCCCUUGUAACUACCCUGAGAGGUCUCUAUUCUGCACCAUGAGAAAACCAAGGAUGAGAAAGGGGAAGUGACUUGCCCAGGUCACCUGGCCAGAUUCUGAGGGUAGGUCCAGCUGACCCAAGCCCACUGUGUUCCCCUGGAGCAUGGAGGCACAGAGUCAGGGUCCACCCCAGGUGGAAGACAUUUUUCUUUCAGAGCUCUCGUUUGAGACUUGGAAACGGGUCCACCCCUGCGGCCCUGACCUACUCCCUAAAGCCCCAUUGGCCUGGAUUUCCACUCUCCUCACAAAAUGCCUCUCUCUUCUCCACUAGGAAAACGCCAAAGAAAAGCAAGAAAAUGCGCUUUAAGGAGUUUGAGGAAUUUACCAGGAAGCUGAAGGUGAAGAGGUCCAGUGGUCUGCAGCAAACACACCCCAAUUCCUUCUGGCCGGGUCAUCUUCUGGAUAAGCUGCAGCUCUACCUGCCCACUGUGGCCACAGACCGGAGCCUGGCGCUCUUCAGUUGUGUUCAACACCAGCCCCAUGUCUACCCAGCCACCUACCACCCUGACCACUGGUGGCCCCUUAGGAACAAGAACUACAUGACCCGCGCCCAUUAUGAUGCCGCCAAGGUGUACUACAUCAACUAGAGCUAGCCAGGUGUGGCCGGACCCAGCCUUCCUGGGCCAGGGGCCAGUGCAGCCAGCGGCCCAGAGCCCAGACACAAGAGGAGUGUCAAAGAGUCAAACUAAAGAAAUCCUUUCAAAGAGGGAUGGACCGGGGGCCAGUUCCCUCUGGACUCAAAGUGUCCAGUGUCUCAGAGGGUAGAUGUGUCCAAGGAAUGACGUGCAGUUUUUGACUAUUUCCCUCCCCUGACCUCUGCCCUUUCUACAUAAAGCAGGUUGGAGUUUUUCUCAUUUC
rnacentral:sRNA from 1 species